AUUGAACGCUGGCGGCAGGCCCAACACAUGCAAGUCGAACGGUAGCACAGAGAGCUUGCUCUUGGGUGACGAGUGGCGGACGGGUGAGUAAUGUCUGGGAAACUGCCCGAUGGAGGGGGAUAACUACUGGAAACGGUAGCUAAUACCGCAUAACGUCUUCGGACCAAAGUGGGGGACCUUCGGGCCUCACGCCAUCGGAUGUGCCCAGAUGGGAUUAGCUAGUAGGUGGGGUAACGGCUCACCUAGGCGACGAUCCCUAGCUGGUCUGAGAGGAUGACCAGCCACACUGGAACUGAGACACGGUCCAGACUCCUACGGGAGGCAGCAGUGGGGAAUAUUGCACAAUGGGCGCAAGCCUGAUGCAGCCAUGCCGCGUGUAUGAAGAAGGCCUUCGGGUUGUAAAGUACUUUCAGCGGGGAGGAAGGCGAUACGGUUAAUAACCGUGUCGAUUGACGUUACCCGCAGAAGAAGCACCGGCUAACUCCGUGCCAGCAGCCGCCGUAA
rnacentral:rRNA from 1 species